rnacentral:sRNA from 1 species
CUUGGAGUGUGUCACCAGUAGAUGGAAGGGUAGUAGUAGGUCUUGGAGUGUGUCACCAGUAGAUGGAAGGGUAGUAGUAGGUCUUGAAGUGUGUCAUCAGUAGAUGGAAGGGUACUAGUAGGUCUUGGAGUGUGCCAUCAGUAGAUGGAAGGGUACUAGUAGGUCUUGAAGUGUGUCAUCAGUAGAUGGAAGGGUACUAGUAGGUCUUGGAGUGUGUCACCAGUAGAUGGAAGGGUACUAGUAGGUCUUGGAGUGUGUCAUCAGUAGAUGGAAGGGUACUAGUAGGUCUUGGAGUGUGUCAUCAGUAGAUGGAAGGGUACUAGUAGGUCUUGGAGUGUGUCAUCAGUAGAUGGAAGGGUACUAGUAGGUCUUGGAGUGUGUCAUCAGUAGAUGGAAGGGUAGUAGUAGGUCUUGGAGUGUGUCAUCAGUAGAUGAAGGGUAGUAGUAGGUCUUGGAGUGUGUCACCAGUAGAUGGAAGGGUACUAGUAGGUCUUGGAGUGUGUCAUCAGUAGAUGGAAGGGUACUAGUAGGUCUUGGAGAGUGUCAUCCGUAGAUGGAAGGGUACUAGUAGGUCUUGGAGUGUGCCAUCAGUAGAUGGAAUGGUACUAGUAGGUCUUGGAGUGUGUCAUCAGUAGAUGGAAGGGUACUAGUAGGUCUUGGAUGUGUCACCAGUACAUGGAAGGGUACUAGUAGGUCUUGAAGUGUGUCAUCAGUAGAUGGAAUGGUACUAGUAGGUCUUGGAGUGUGUCACCAGUAGAUGGAAGGGUAGUAGUAGGUCUUGGAGUGUGUCAUCAGUAGAUGGAAGGGUACUAGUAGGUCUUGGAGUGUGUCAUCAGUAGAUGGAAGGGUACUAGUAGGUCUUGGAGUGUGUCAUCAGUAGAUGGAAGGGUACUAGUAGGUCUUGGAGUGUGUCUCUUUCUUAGGCCAAACUUUUUCUCUCUUUUUUUCACUGUCAUUAGGAGCUCAAUGUUUCUUAUCAUGAAAUGUUCAGUUCAACAUACAAAACAUCAACAAACAGUAUGAAAUGUUCAGUACAACAUACAAAACGUCUACUCACAGUAGGCUGUAUACCAAAACAAGCAAGUAACAGAAAUCUAUUUGGUCACACAUUUAAAUCUAUCUGGUAAAACAUUCUGUUUUAAAAAUUGAGCUAAUAGGUCUACUGUACAAACAUUCAAACUCUUAUAUAGGUUUUUUUUUAUGUAACUUUCUGUGUCAGACAACUAAAUGGUAAAACAUACAUUCUAAUAUAGAUGGGAUGUAAAAACGAGAGAUUAAGGAAAUCAGUCAAGAAAAAUCCCCAUCAAACGAGUUACUUCGCAAAUAAAGUUUCCCAAAUUUGAAUUGACCAAGUGAGUCACUGAAGAAUGUACAUUGGGGAGGAAUGCAAAUUUAACCAAUGAAAAGUGUUAAUCUGUGAGCUCUCCCUCAAAGAAAACAAUGUUUACUUUAGAGAAAACAUGAAAAAAAAAGCACAGACUGACACUUAGC